ensembl:lncRNA
UUUUUUUUUUUGUCUUUUCUAGGGCUACACUUGCGGCAUAUGGAGGUUCCCAGGCUAGGGGUCUAAUCAGAGCUGUUGCUGCCGGCCUACACCAGAGCCACAGCAACUGGGGAUCCAAGCUGCAUCUGCAACCUAUACCACAGCUCACAGCAACGCCAGAUCCUUAACCCACUGAGCGAGGCCAGGAAUUGAACCCACAACCUCAUGGUUCCUAGUUGGAUUUGUUAACCUCUGAGCCACAAUAGGCACUCCAACUAUUACAUUUAAAAUAUGGUGUUUACUUUUUGCGGGAUUUUGUGUGUGUGUGAUUUUUCCACAAAAGAGAUCAUUGUAACAAAGCAGAUGACAGAUUUAAUUUUAUCAUCAACUUUCUGCUAUAUUCUUUGAUAAGAUUAUCCAGAACAUAUGAAGACUGUCCAAUAUGUAUUUGUUCAUUCAUGAAAAAAAAGUUUGUGAACUGAUUUCUGCUCUCUUCCUCUCCAGAGAACUGAUUGCAUUUUUCCUCUUUCUCUAACAUGUAUAGAGUACCUGUUGCCAUGGCAAUCACUGAUUUAGCACAACAUGUUUUUUCCUCCUUCUUUUAAAAAAUUAGUUUCCAUUCCUGCCAAGAAGGAACAUAUUAAUCUACCCAUUAUGCUAGCUUAGGGAAGUUGAAAGCCAUACAAGUUGUCAUUUACACAGAUUCCCAGAAAGUCGGUUGUUAGUAUCUUUUGUGCCAAGAACUCUCCCCUUGUCCCAGAGAGGAAAUGGGACACUGAAAUGAAAGAGUCUGUAGCUAAGGAGGUAGCAUCUCUCUUCUUUUCCACAAAGUUUCCCUGCAGGGUACAGAACCUCAAACUCCCAAACAUCUUGUCUGCCUAAACUCUCUUACUGGAUAAAGCUUUAACAGACCACUGCUGUCCAGAAAACAGGGAUUAAAUAGACAACACUUUUUAAGACAAAAAUGUACUUUAGUCUACUUACUUCGGCAAUAAAGCCAAAAUAAUAACAACAAUGAAAACAAUUAAAAAACAAUAAAAAAAAAUCCUUUGAGGUGACUAAUAUAAGAAGUAGGAAACCCUUGUUGAAGAAACCAAAAUCAACUGUUCCAUUCUUGAUGAAACAACAAGUCCUGCCUGAGUCUCCUGAUGGACUAAAUUCUUUCUAGUAUUAGGUAACUCAGAUAUUAAAUCUGAUCUAGCCUUGCUAUUCAGACCUCAAAAUGCCUAUAAACAUACCUCUCGAGAACUAUGUCCAGGCUUGUCUUAGGACAAUGGUCUGCGCUAGCUUGGAUUUUUAUAACUGACAUUCCAAUCUGGGAAGGCUAGAUUCUUCCCAGUUUCUCAAGUCAAAUCCACUGGCUUUCCUGGCUGUGGGGCUCCAUAAAUCUGCCUACCCGCUAAUGGGAAAGGCCACAUACUUGGGUCAGAGCACUGAAGUCAGGAACAGAGGUUGACUUUCUGACCUAUUUACUGCUCCCCAAAAUUUCUGACCUAUUUACUGCUCUCAGGGAAGAAAGACAGUGUCAGGAAGAGACACAAAAGGGGAACUGAAGGCUUUUCCAUUUUCAGAAAUGUCUGCUUAUUAUCAGAGUAAUGAAAGCUCAAAAUUAAGACAUGGGAAAGGAGAGAUUAGAGAUGGGAAGUUAAAGCCAUUCCUUAUCCAAAGCUUUACAGAACUGGAUCACGGCUACCUAAAAGCCUCAAAGCAUUAACGGCCUGCUGUAAAGGAGAGAAGGUGAGAGAGAGAAUCAUUCCUUUUCACUAAUAGCUUGCAUGAAGAAUGAACACACACUUUUAAACAGACCCUUAAAACGGUCCUUGAAACUGACUCUUAAAUACUUUUAAAAUUCAGCAUAUUUACUAUUAUUUUCCACUAGGAGAAAAAAAAAAAAAAAAGACCUGGCCAUGCAUUUCCUUUUAACAUCAUGGAAGUGGGUAAGGGCUUAAACAGAAGAAAGAUAUUACUUCCUGAAACCUUGGAUGUUCUGCUGAAAACACCCUUAAAGGAAUGCAUCUGCUAAAAAGCAAAAACAUCUGAUAAAAUGCUUUUAAAGAAAUUGGUUCCUAAAGAAUAAUGUGAGAAAUAUGUCACUGGGAGUGUUCAAUUGCACCAAGACCAUUCUUCUGCUUUAGAUCCUCAGCUCACAGACAGAAAGUAUUGAUUAAUUAGCAGCAAUUUGAAAGGCAUCACCUUUUCCGUAGAUGUCAGUUGUUCACUCAACUGUGGAUCUCAAAGGUGACAUGAAUCCAUGGAUGGUUUACAAACCACUUACAGCCCAGAUUUUAAUUCUGCUGCCAAUAAUAAUGAUAAUAAAAGUAAAAAUACCACCAUUCUAUUCUAAUACUUAAUACAAAUGUAAGAUCAUUAGAAAACCAUGAUAGAAAUUUGAAAGUAAUGUAUCCCAAAAUAAGACUGCAACAAAAGAUAACAGACAAUACAACAGCUUUUUCAAUUAACUACACAGCCAGGAAAAAAUAAUUGAAAAUGAAAAAGUAUGAUCAGAGAUACCUGAUUAACUCAUUAAUAUUUUCUGGAAUCUAAUGCUCCAUUAAAAAGAGGGGAAAAAAAUGUUACUGCUGUAAAAGGCUAUUCUCAGAUUCCUCUGACUGAUCUGGACUCCACGUUGCUGGCUUUCCAGAUAAGUCCAUUGGCACCAUCAAUACAGAGUGGCCUUCUGAGCUAUGCUGCUAACAAAUGCAUCCCAACUAGAUCCUUCCCACUAUAUGUCAUGUUACUGUCUUGCUUCCAGUUACUGGUGCUAUAUUUGUUUUUCUACUGUACGUUUUAAAAUAACUUGGAAAAUUAUAGUAGCAAUACAAGUUCAUUACAAAAUAUUCAAAUGAACAGAAGGAAGAAAAUAUUCAUUAUAAUACCUGAAAGGUUCAUAACUGUUUCCAAACACUUUUCCUACUUACACUGUUUUUACAAAAAUGUAAUUAUAGGAUCUACAACAUUGGAUAAUCUUCUGUUUUCAUGAAGGAAACUAAAUGAAUAUCUUUUUGUCAAUAAUUAUUCACUUAGAAUAUUAUUUUCAAUGGUUGCCUAAUAGCCAUCUCCAUAUUGAUAAAUGUUUAGUUGUUUUGAAUAUUCUGCUAUUAUAAACUAUGUUACAAUGAUACUUGUAGCUCUUCAAUGGCUACUGUGUUAUCAUGAUUGACUGAUGACUUACCUUCCUAGACCUAGAAGAAGCAAUGGAUUCUGAUGUUUACAAAGCCUGUCACUGCAGCUUACCAGGAUGUAGGCCAAGAUAUAUUACUUUCAUAUCCAAAUGCUUUGAAAGAAACACUGCUGUCCACUGAUAUUAUAUAUGUAUAUGUGUGUGUAUACGUAUAUAUAUGUAUAUGUGUGUGUGUGUGUGUAUAUAUAUAUACGGAUAUACACACAUAUUUGUUGCUAUUUGCUCACUAUUUGGGGGUGGGAAUGGGGUGGAAGAAACCCAGUCUUAUGUUCUUCACCUGUUACUAUUUAAAAUUGACAUUUCGUUUUUUCAAGUUACUG